GCUGUUCCCGUUUGCAACCUCAGAUUUUAGUCCAAGUCCCAGAAUGGUUGUAUCAUUUCCUUCCAGCAAAACGAAAAGAGGACAUGUUAUGUAAAAUUAGAAUUCUUGUUUGAAAGCACUUAGUGAAAGCUGUUGCAGGCUGGAUUUGACUAGAAAAGCAAAACCACUACAACUAUUACGGAAAUAAGGAGUUUUGUGUAGAAUUAGGCUUUCCACCAGUGUGGAGGAAGCUGAAAUUCUAAAGAACCAGAAGACUUCAGCCAGAAUCAGAUGCUGUAACAGUAUGCUUAGUCCAAUAGCAGGACAUCAUGCAGUGGAGGAAGGAAACGAUACAGCUUGGGGAAGGCUGCAAACCCCAUGGCCAGAAGUCCCUGGCAGCAUGCCACGUCCCUCUGCCCUGACACUGAACAUCUAGAUUUUGAAAAGUCUAUCAAUGGUGCCAAGUUGACCGCAACCAACCAAGUCAUUUGACACUAUAUCAAAGCUUGAAGUGAAAACUUUUAAUUUCCAACAUUAUCUAGUCUUUUCACAGAACAUGAAGGGGUGGACAUUUUGGCCUGCAGGACAGGCAAAUAUUGGACCUUAAUCCUUUUAAUUUAAAGCUUUUUAUAGCUUUUUAUCCCUCCUUCAAAAUAAAAACUUCCUGUGAUGCAUAUUCUUGAAAUAUGAGUUGGCUAUAACAUAUUCAAUUAGGAAACUUAGAGGAGAUUUCAAUUUAGGAAAUGAAAAAUGUGAAUGGAAGAGCAUGGGCCCAUUGAAUAAAGAGCAGGGAGGAACUGAGACAGAGAUCCUUGAAAACCGAUUUCAUCUACUUUACAAUAAUGUUUGAAACGAGUCC
rnacentral:lncRNA from 1 species